GAUGAACGCUGGCGGCGUGCCUAAUACAUGCAAGUCGAGCGAAUGGAUUAAGAGCUUGCUCUUAUGAAGUUAGCGGCGGACGGGUGAGUAACACGUGGGUAACCUGCCCAUAAGACUGGGAUAACUCCGGGAAACCGGGGCUAAUACCGGAUAACAUUUUGAACCGCAUGGGUCGAAAUUGAAAGGCGGCUUCGGCUGUCACUUAUGGAUGGACCCGCGUCGCAUUAGCUGGUUGGUGAGGUAACGGCUCACCAAGGCAACGAUGCGUAGCCGACCUGAGAGGGUGAUCGGCCACCCUGGGACUGGGAAACGGCCCAGACUCCUACGGGAGGCAGCAGUAGGGAAUCUUCCGCAAUGGACGAAAGUCUGAGGGAGCAACGCCGCGUGAGUGAUGAAGGCUUUCGGGUCGUAAAACUCUGUUGUUAGGGAAGAACAAGUGCUAGUUGAAUAAGCUGGCACCUUGACGGUACCUAACCAGAAAGCCACGGCUAACUACGUGCCAGCCGCCGCAGUAA
rnacentral:rRNA from 1 species